rnacentral:rRNA from 2 species
UGACCUCGGAUCAGGUAGGGGUACCCGCUGAACUUAAGCAUAUCAAUAAGCGGAGGA